rnacentral:rRNA from 1 species
UACGAAGGGGGCUAGCGUUGUUCGGAAUUACUGGGCGUAAAGGGCGCGUAGGCGGCGUGUCAAGUCAGGCGUGAAAGCCCCGGGCUCAACCUGGGAACCGCGCUUGAGACUGGCAUGCUCGAGUUCGGGAGAGGAUGGUGGAAUUCCCAGUGUAGAGGUGAAAUUCGUAGAUAUUGGGAAGAACACCGAUGGCGAAGGCGGGUCUCUGGGCAGUAACUGACGCUGAGGAGCGAAAGCGUGGGGAGCGAACAGG